rnacentral:rRNA from 1 species
GCGGGACACGUGGUAUCCUGUCUGAAUAUGGGGGGACCAUCCUCCAAGGCUAAAUACUCCUGACUGACCGAUAGUGAACCAGUACCGUGAGGGAAAGGCGAAAAGAACCCCGGCGAGGGGAGUGAAAAAGAACCUGAAACCGUGUACGUACAAGCAGUGGGAGCCUCUUAAUGGGGUGACUGCGUACCUUUUGUAUAAUGGGUCAGCGACUUAUAUUCUGUAGCAAGGUUAACCGAAUAGGGGAGCCGAAGGGAAACCGAGUCUUAACUGGGCGUUAAGUUGCAGGGUAUAGACCCGAAACCCGGUGAUCUAGCCAUGGGCAGGUUGAAGGUUGGGUAACACUAACUGGAGGACCGAACCGACUAAUGUUGAAAAAUUAGCGGAUGACUUGUGGCUGGGGGUGAAAGGCCAAUCAAACCGGGAGAUAGCUGGUUCUCCCCGAAAGCUAUUUAGGUAGCGCCUCGUGAAUUCAUCUCCGGGGGUAGAGCACUGUUUCGGCAAGGGGGUCAUCCCGACUUACCAACCCGAUGCAAACUGCGAAUACCGGAGAAUGUUAUCACGGGAGACACACGGCGGGUGCUAACGUCCGUCGUGAAGAGGGAAACAACCCAGACCGCCAGCUAAGGUCCCAAAGUCAUGGUUAAGUGGGAAACGAUGUGGGAAGGCCCAGACAGCCAGGAUGUUGGCUUAGAAGCAGCCAUCAUUUAAAGAAAGCGUAAUAGCUCACUGGUCGAGUCGGCCUGCGCGGAAGAUGUAACGGGGCUAAACCAUGCACCGAAGCUGCGGCAGCGACACUAUGUGUUGUUGGGUAGGGGAGCGUUCUGUAAGCCUGUGAAGGUGUGCUGUGAGGCAUGCUGGAGGUAUCAGAAGUGCGAAUGCUGACAUAAGUAACGAUAAAGCGGGUGAAAAGCCCGCUCGCCGGAAGACCAAGGGUUCCUGUCCAACGUUAAUCGGGGCAGGGUGAGUCGACCCCUAAGGCGAGGCCGAAAGGCGUAGUCGAUGGGAAACAGGUUAAUAUUCCUGUACUUGGUGUUACUGCGAAGGGGGGACGGAGAAGGCUAUGUUGGCCGGGCGACGGUUGUCCCGGUUUAAGCGUGUAGGCUGGUUUUCCAGGCAAAUCCGGAAAACC